AUUGAACGCUGGCGGCAUGCUUUACACGUGCAAGUCGAACGGCAGCGCGGGCUUCGGCCUGGCGGCGAGUGGCGAACGGGUGAGUAAUACAUCGGAACGUGCCCAGUAGUGGGGGAUAGCUCGGCGAAAGCCGGAUUAAUACCGCAUACGACCUGAGGGUGAAAGCGGGGGAUCUUCGGACCUCGCGCUAUUGGAGCGGCCGAUGGCAGAUUAGUUAGUUGGUGGGGUAAAGGCCUACCAAGGCGACGAUCUGUAGCUGGUCUGAGAGGACGACCAGCCACACUGGGACUGAGACACGGCCCAGACUCCUACGGGAGGCAGCAGUGGGGAAUUUUGGACAAUGGGCGAAAGCCUGAUCCAGCAAUGCCGCGUGUGUGAUGAAGGCCUUCGGGUUGUAAAGCACUUUUGGCGGGAACGAAAAGGACUGUGCCAAUACCACGGUUCGAUGACGGUACCCGCAGAAUAAGCACCGGCUAACUACGUG
rnacentral:rRNA from 1 species